rnacentral:rRNA from 1 species
GUGGGGAAUCUUCCGCAAUGGACGAAAGUCUGACGGAGCAACGCCGCGUGAGUGAAGAAGGUUUUCGGAUCGUAAAGCUCUUUCGUUAGGGACGAACGUGCUCUUUGUGAAUAAUGAGGAGUAAUGACGGUACCUAAAUAAGAAGCCACGGCUAACUACGUUCCAGCAGCCGCGGUAAUACGUAGGUGGCAAGCGUUGUCCGGAAUUAUUGGGCGUAAAGCGCGCGCAGGCGGGAGAUCAAGUCUGUCUUAAAAGUGCGAGGCUCAACCUCGUGAGGGGACAGAAACUACUAUUCUGGAGUGUAGGAGAAGAAAGUGGAAUUCCAAGUGUAGCGGUGAAAUGCGUAGAGAUUUGGAAGAACACCAGUGGCGAAGGCGACUUUCUGGACGAUGUAUGACGCUGAGGCGCGAAAGCUAGGGGAGCGAACGGGAUUAGAAACCCUGGUAGUCC